rnacentral:rRNA from 1 species
UUAAAUUGAAGAGUUUGAUCAUGGCUCAGAUUGAACGCUGGCGGCAGGCCUAACACAUGCAAGUCGAACGGUAACAGGAAGCAGCUUGCUGCUUCGCUGACGAGUGGCGGACGGGUGAGUAAUGUCUGGGAAACUGCCUGAUGGAGGGGGAUAACUACUGGAAACGGUGGCUAAUACCGCAUAACGUCGCAAGACCAAAGAGGGGGACCUUCGGGCCUCUUGCCAUCAGAUGUGCCCAGAUGGGAUUAGCUUGUUGGUGAGGUAACGGCUCACCAAGGCGACGAUCCCUAGCUGGUCUGAGAGGAUGACCAGCCACACUGGAACUGAGACACGGUCCAGACUCCUACGGGAGGCAGCAGUGGGGAAUAUUGCACAAUGGGCGCAAGCCUGAUGCAGCCAUGCCGCGUGUAUGAAGAAGGCCUUCGGGUUGUAAAGUACUUUCAGCGGGGAGGAAGGUGUUGUGGUUAAUAACCGCAGCAAUUGACGUUACCCGCAGAAGAA